UCACAACUCCUGGUCUGGAAAUUGGCAAGACCAAGACAGUGGUCUAACUCUCAGAAGGUGGGAGGAACCUCACACUCUAACAAGUUCAAGGAGUUGCCACACAGUUGUAUGGAUGGGGUCAUUGCCAACAAGCAAGUCUCUUCUCCUGGAGAAUUUGCCCUAAGAACAGCCUAUAUUAAAAUUUUCAACAACCAAUAACCUGAUUCAGUUUGAAAUUGGAAUUUACUGUGCAUCACCGACCUGGCACUCUUAUUUAUACAAUAAGAAAACUAUGUUGUCUCAGAGUAAGGACAUACACAAAUGAAGAAGAAUCAAGAGACCCUCAGUGACAUGCAUUUUGGGUAAUUUUACAAAUAUAUUUUUAUUCCUUAGCAUCAUGUCAAGUGGUAUUUUAUUGAUCAAAUUAUAUUUGAAUUGUCCCCCCCAAAAAAAUGUCAGUUUAAGAUGGGUAAAAAACUAAAAGUUGAGAACAUUAUUAGAUGAAUCGGGGUGAUAUUUGUCCUAUCAAAAGAAUUGUCCAACAAAAUUUCUGCCAAAUUCUGGACAAUGGGUUUGCUCUUGUGUGCUCUUCGGUGAUUCCUGGAUAGCAGGUGUGAGUGCAGGAUGCCAAGAAGAAAAGGCUCAUCUGUAAGAGCACGGAAGGCAGGGGGCCUCUCAAAGGGCAAGGACACCGUCUUCCUCCUGAGGCGCGAUCGCUUUGCACAUAGGCUCUCCAAAUACCAAGCGCGAAGAGCCUGGCUUUUAAUUACAAAGUAAAAUAUCACUCGAGAAUUGCAUAAUUGGUGUUUGCCUUUUGCAAUGCAGUGAACAUAAGGGAACCUGACAUUAAAUGUCUGAUGUGUUGCCAUGGCAUCUUCUGGGAUUUUGCUUUGUGCUGCUUCAAGCUGCCAGCUAUGUUACAUUUGAAUUCCUUGAGAGUAUGUGGGGUGAGGGCAGGAAAGGAACCAGAAUGCUACAGGGUUAAAGAUUCUAAUUCUAGGGUAACGGAGG